AUGUGCACUUUUUAAAAAUUCAACUAUAAUUAACAUUCAGUGUAAUAUCAGUUUCAGGUGUUCCAUAUGGUUCAGUGAUUUCAUGCAUUUCUCAUGCUCAUCACAAGUGUACUCUUGAUCUAUUUCACCUCUUUCAGCCAUCCCCCACCCAACUCCCCUCGAAUCAGUGUGUUUUUAAAGAGAAGGUUGUUGUUUAAUCUCAUUUUUUUUUGUCAUUGUCCAACUAAGAACUUUUUGUUUUUGACGUCUAGUUUGAGUCAUUUGUGGUCUGAGAACAUACUUCCUAUGAUUUCCUUUACUUUGUUCAGAUCUCUCUGUGACGUCCCAAAUACCUGCUGUAAUUUUAUAAUGUCUUCAGGGAAUGACUCUGGUCAAGGAAGCACUUUUUGCACUUUCUGGAAACGUUUGUUUUCAUUUCUAUUGUUGCUUGUGUGAUUUCUCUAGCCAUGUCCCACUUCUUUUCUGAUUUGAAAAUCUUCGUUGUUGGUGAUGUGGGAAAAAUCAUAGGACCUGAUUUGAUAGAAUUGUUUGUCAGUUCAGGAAAUAGCCAACUGCAGGAGACAUUUCUCCAGUGUUUCUGGUAGAGUCGAGUAUAUGAAGGUUCACCUCUCCCUUAACGAAGUUGAUACCAGCGAAGUGAAAUUGAAGUCUGAAAAGCUGCCUCUGCAGAAAGAAAAUACUCAACUUAAGAUCCAAAAGAAUAAGGUAACAAAAUUUACUAUCAAAUGUUAUAUAAAUCAGAGAACUGAACAUCAUUACUUUCUUUUUAAGUUUCUCUUCUUUAACUGGGGUAAAAUACAUGCAUUAGAAAGUUUCCCAUCAUAAACAUUUAAGUGUACAUGUUAGUAUUGGGAAGUACAUUCUCUAUACUGUACAUUCUUCUAUAGUCAUUCCACCUUUCUCAAAUCUGUCUUAAAGUCAGGAGAUACUACUGCACGCAUCAAGGAUUCGAUGCAGGGAGUCUUGACGUCUAAUAAUGUAACCUGGAAUAGGUGUUGCUUUGGGGUGAGGGGGGGUAGAAAACUGCACUUGAUAGAAUGAGUUUGCUCUGGGAAGGUAAAAAGUGGCUCCCUGCCUUGGGAAUCUUGUCCCUUCUCCUCUCCCCCCUCAUGGCCACACUCGUGGGAACAGGUGUGCACACUCAGGUAAACUGUUUUAUGCCUGACAGGCAGCGAAAGGGAACUGGGGACAACUGUGAUGCACUUAGGAGUGUGAAAGGGGCGAAGAACGCCAAAUGGGACACGCUGAAGAAGAAUGUAGACAUUCGUGAUGGAAUGUGUGGACAAAGACAGAAGCUCACAGAAGAGGAGCUGGGACUGAAAGAAUGGGAGCAGGUGGAAGGGGAGAAGCAGCUGUCAGUUACAGAGGGGAAAGUGAAAUUAGCUGCAGAAGAGCUAUGGAACUGCAAGUGAGUGCAGCUCCUACCAGCAGCUCAUGCGACAGCCAUUGAAUUAGUUUGAAACUUUGUAUAGUGUUUAGACCCAAAUAGCACACAAAUAUACACAAACAUUCAGGAGACAUUCACUUCAAGAGAGAUGUGACCUUUUCCAGAUGUUAAGUUAAAAAUAUUAACCUGAGCAAGUUAAGUAACUAAAGAUUUCCUGAUCCCCAGCUGGCCAGACUAUGUGGAAAUGUGGUUCCUGAACAUGUUUCUGGAGGUGCUGGAAAUGAUUACAAACCUCAGGAAGCAGUUUGGUCGAGGACAAAUCACAUCGACAAGCAUGACCAUCCCAUUUUAGAGACCCACUUGUUGUAACCAUGAGAAAUAUGAUAAGGAUACAAGGAAAAGAAGAUUUGAACUUUACAAUGAAAGAUCUUCAUUGCAGAAUUAGGGAGCUGUCACCACAGGUAAGGAGACCGUGUCAACGUGGAGCCCCACAGGCAUUAAAUAAUAAAUCCAAGAUGAUGUAGCGAUGGCUUUGAGCUUUCUGUACUCUCCUCCUCAUGUGAAAUGUGUUUUAUAUGAUUGGGUCGUGUGUAUGAGAAUUCAGUUCUUAUAAUGGGAACCUGGGCCAAUUAACAUCAUCCUCAACAGGGUGCUUCAUCUGAUGAAGCCAUUGCAUGCCCAGGAGAAGAGUAGAAGAAACACAAGAACAGCUGCAGCAGUCAGAGCUCACCUUCGGACACCAGGUAGCCUGCACUCUGCCUAGUAGUUCCUGAGUGCUUCAGCACCUAACGCAGAUGAUCAUAACGGGACACUGAAUCUCUCCACAUGGGUUUUAUUGAUGUGCUGACUCUUUCAGAUUGCUCUUUGUGAGAAGGCACUUCAGGACAACUGGGUAAGAAUGUUUUACUCUCCUCCUCUUGUGCACACCCUGCCACAGCUGAACGUGGAUGUGUUUCUCUCUUGAGCUCAGGGCUCAUGAUGUGGAGAGGGCAGUGGCGGAGCAGAGCAGGGGGGUCGCCUACUUGAAAUGCAGGUACAGGGUUUUGACAGGCGCUGUGAGGUUUUUAAAAAGGCUAAACCGUUUGGUGUCCAAUGGAGGCCUGGGUGUGGUAACUCUUAGUGAAACUGAUUCAUCUCGAUCUUCAAGACUGGAAGUCAUCCAAAGACAGAGGCUUCCCGAGGAAUUCAGGAGGCACAAACCAAUGGCAAGAGCACCUGACAGGGAGAUCCUUCCAUGGAGAGGUACGGAGCACAUUGUGAAAUGCAGUAGCUUAACUUCUGCGGCAACAUCCACAAAAUCGGCUUCUUGUUCCAGUGGGAGUAAUUGCUUGGUCUCAUACAAACAGUCCCAGGUGGUUACUAGAGGGCACAGGUUGUCCCACAGUGGUCACAAGCCACUGUUUCCCUCAGAUGCCCGCAGCCAGCAGCGCUCUUUGGGUCUGUCCCUUGUGAGUGGUGGAGCUCACGCCUCUCCACUGACUGUGAGCCUCCCUGCAACCUCCCGGUUACACUUAACUGGAGAGUGGGUGCUAGAACGAUCGUGGGUCAGCGCCCCUUCCACCUUGAGACAAUGUUGAAGGCUGUUUCUUUUGUUUCACAUGAAUAACGUGAACAACAGCAUGAACUGGAGGCUGUAUGUCCUGAUGAGCUUUCUUGAUUUGGCUUUUGGAUAAAUGCCCCAGAGAAAAUAUGCUUUGUAUAAAGAAACAGACAUUUCUUCCUCUGUUUAGAGGUCCCUUUAUUCUUUAAUUUUUUUUUGUAUUGUGAACUAUAGUACUCCAGUAGUAAAGUAAAUCCUUGUGAAAUUUCACUCCUCCAAUGUUAUUUUAUUAGUGUAACUCUGAAACUUUGCAGGUCAUUCCACAUAGAAUUAACUUUUCCCUUCCUCAUUACUAUAGUAUUAGUCUCUGCAAGGCAAUUUCUUUUCGUGAAUACUUACAUAAUCCCUUGUCAGAUACAUAAGGCAGAUGAUAUAUACAGUAAACCAC